GUGAAAGGGAUGUGAGGGGCACUGUGGGUCCAGGAACGUAGGGGUUGUGGGGGCACGUGGGGAGCGGUUUGGGGUGAGAAUGGAGGAUGUGCGGUGGUGUUGGAGUGCACUGGUUGAUUUCUUCCUGGGAGGGGAUUGGGGUUCCCUUUGGCCCAAAGGUGGAGCCCUGAUCCAUAACCCCACGUGAGCCCAGAGCCCAUAUAACUCUGCAUGAGCCCAAGGCUCCACAUGACCCAUAACCGUGUGAGCACCGUAAGCCCAUAUGAGGCUGAGGGCAGUGAUGGGUCUGUUACUGGCUAGGUCAGGAAGUACUCUAGGGUGGCUCUGGGGCCGCUGUAGAAUAGCGCUCUGUAUCUGCCCCUGACCCUCAUCUUGGGGGGUAAGAUGGGGGUGCAGGGGUUAGUGGAGGGCUAAGGAAGAGAUUCCAUGAGUAUGAACCAUAGCAGCCCCAGAGCCAUCCUAGAGCAGCGCCAUCACUGCCCACGGCCCAUGGCCAGCAGCAGUUCCACCACAAGCUGUGUGUUGGGUCAAGGCAGCUCCUAGGUGUUGCUCUGCUUCAUAGCUGCCCCAAAGUGCCCCUGUAGCCCUCCCAUAGGUGUCCUUUAACUGCCCCACCACCCCGUAAGGCUUCCCCACGUCCUAGCACAUCCCCCCACGUGCGUGCAGGGUGUGCAAGAAACGCUCUCAUCCCUGAUAUUCCAUCAGGCACAGCUCUUCGUGCAGCAGCAAAGCUCCUUCCUGAUUGCUGUGGCGUUACUUCACUCUCCUCAGUGAGUUCCUUCUGCUCCCGUUGGGUUGGUUGAGUUGGGUUUGUUGGGAUGAGGUGGGGGCAGGGAUCCCAGAGUUCUGGGGCCACAUGGCAUCGGGUCGCAGCGUGUUGGGGGCAGGAAGGGUCAGGGAGUCACAGGGUCUUGUGGGGGUGUGGUUCACCCAGGGCUGUGGGUCACGUAUAGCCAUGGGGUCAUGCACAUACAGGGUGAUGAGAUCAUCUUGGCUUAAGGCUCAUGUGGGGUUACGGCUCAGGGCCCCACCUUUGGGCUGCAUGGACCCCCAGUCCCCUCUCAGGAAGAAAUGAAACCCCUCCUACACCGCUGCCCCCUUCCCCCCUUUUUUUUUUUUACCUCAAACUGCUCCCCACAUCCUCCCAUAGCACCCCAUACUCCCGCGUCCCUCUUGCAGCCCACAUCUUGUCUUCUCCUGAACAGCAUUCUGCUCCUGCAGGCUGUGUUGUCAUAUCCAUUCUAUAUCCCCCACAACCUCUCCCACAGACCCACAUAGCUCCUCAAGUACUUUCUCUGACCGGGUACACCUCCCCCACCGCCAACCUGGGACCUCGCAGAGCCCCACAGUCCCCAGCAGCACCCCACGUCCCCCACGGUUCUUCAAGGAUCCCUCCGAUUUGAGGGAGGCUCAGACCUCCCUUUAUGCCUCAGACCCCUCCUGUGUUCUCCGACUCCCACAGUCCCUGACAGGACCCCCAUCACCAUCCCAGGACCCCCAUAGCCCACUGAUGAGGAACCUCGCAGCAAUCCACAUCUCAGGAUGGGCCUCCAGCUGUGCCCCAAUGCCUGCAUUAAAGAGAGGAGAAUGAAUGAGCGUAACGGGGCACCUUUCCUCCUGACAUUACCAACUGCCUGCGUGUUGGCUGUGCCACGUGAGCGGCAUUUUGUCCUCGAGCUGUGAGUGCAGAAAUUCCCAUGAUUAUUUCCAACUCAUUUCCAGGCUGAUGGCUGCUGGUCCUGAAGAACCACAGAAUCACUAAGCAUCUCCAGGGACAGUGAUUCCCCCACCUCCCUGGGCAGCCUGUGCCAGUGCCUUGGAUGGAAGGCCCUUGGACGGUGACCAAGAUGCUGGCUGUCGUGGUGGUCCUCUUUGCCCUUCUGUGGCUGCCAUACCGCACACUGGUGGUGGUGAAGUCCUUUGAGGACCCCCCCGUACCUCAACAUUUGGUUCCUCCUCUUCUGCCGGAUGUGCAUCUACCUGAACAGUGCCAUCAACC
ensembl:lncRNA